rnacentral:rRNA from 1 species
CAGUAGCCGCGGUAAUACGUAGGUGGCAAGCGUUGUCCGGAAUUAUUGGGCGUAAAGGGCUCGCAGGCGGUUUCUUAAGUCCGAUGUGAAAGCCCCCGGCUCAACCGGGGAGGGUCAUUGGAAACUGGGAAACUUGAGUGCAGAAGAGGAGAGUGGAAUACCACGUGUAGCGGUGAAAUGCGUAGAGAUGUGGAGGAACACCAGUGGCGAAGGCGACUCUCUGGUCUGUAACUGACGCUGAGGAGCGAAAGCGUGGGGAGCGAACAGGAUUAGAUACCCCGGUAGUCCCUGUCUCUUAUAC